rnacentral:rRNA from 1 species
GGAAUAUUGGUCAAUGGGUGAGAGCCUGAACCAGCCAUGCCGCGUGCAGGAAGACGGCCUUCUGGGUUGUAAACUGCUUUUAUCUGGGGAUAAAAAGCCCAUGCGUGGGACAUUGAAGGUACCAGAUGAAUAAGCACCGGCUAACUACGUGCCAGCAGCCGCGGUAAUACGUAGGGUGCAAGCGUUGUCCGGAUUUAUUGGGUUUAAAGGGUGCGUAGGCGGUCUAUUAAGUCAGUGGUGAAAUCCAACAGCUCAACUGUUGAUGUGCCAAUGAUACUGAUGGACUUGAGUACAGACGAGGUAGGCGGAAUUGACAGUGUAGCGGUGAAAUGCAUAGAUAUUGUCAAGAACACCGAUAGCGAAGGCAGCUUGCUAGCCUGUAACUGACGCUGAGGCACGAAG